rnacentral:rRNA from 1 species
UACGUAGGGGCGAGCGUUAUCCGGAAUUAUUGGGCGUAAAGAGUACGUAGGUGGUUUGUAAGCAUGGGGUGAAAGACCGAGGCUCAACUUCGGUUAGCCUUGUGAACUGCAAGACUUGAGUGCAGGAGAGGAAAGUGGAAUUCCUAGUGUAGCGGUGAAAUGCGUAGAUAUUAGGAGGAACACCAGUGGCGAAGGCGACUUUCUGGACUGUAACUGACACUGAGGUACGAAAGCGUGGGUAGCAAACAGG